rnacentral:lncRNA from 1 species
CCGACUUCACCUCAAGGGAAGCAAGCAGACCUCGCUACAUCGCGCGAUGCUGUCAUUCCACGAAUUUGUAUCUGCGUAUGACUACAUAUAUAUCUCCGAAAUUCCCUCGAAUUUAUCUGUUAUAUUCAGAUCGCAAUAUCUCCUUACCCUGACAGCCGGGUUGGAUUGAGAAAAGAAAAGCUUUACGAAGCGUUCUAUGCGUCAUUCCUCGGUCCUCUGGCCUCCAGUAGCAGUAGCAGGAUCAGGAUCAGGGCCCGUUUGGGGACGGAGAUGCUGAUACGGCGGCACCGCGGCAGUAACUUCAGGCCUGGUCGUCCGGGGACUCCGUGGAGGUAAAACCCAGUGCUGGUAGUUUCUCGUGUCUGCUAGAAUAACAUCACCAUCAACUAAAGCAUGCGGAGUCGUACAGCAACACUGUAGGCAGCGAACGGCUGUACAUGAGACCAGAUCUGGAACAAACAAGGAGUCAGAGUCAUUUACUACUACGGUGACCGACCGGCGAUCUGAAGCAUGAACAGCCACACAGGUAAAAACCAUCAGAGUACAUUCGGAGUUCCCUGCACUGUCAAUAGAGCCUGCGAGAAUACUGUAGCACAAGGCUCGAUCCGGGCGAGAUCUGGUCUGGUCUGAACUCUGACCAGAUCAAUCCUCGGUGUCACAACACAGCCACCCGGCCGAAGGUGAAAAACAAAAACUGGAUCCCCCACCCUCACAGAGUGAGGUCGUGGUACUGGCACCUCCUCAACCAGGUCAGAAUUGGAGCACAGGGCGGUGGUGGUACAAUCUGUCAUGCCUCAUGCGCCGGUGCUCGCCCCAGCCUCGGCAGUUUUUAUUGCGAGGUACACCACUGCUACAGGACGAUCAGUGACUCAGGACUGUAUACUAUACUACUAUUCCAAUGAAUGCGAAUCGUUGUUCUUGCGUGGGAACAACAGUCGUGCGUGCCUCCUUCGCUACUCGAGUACUCGUUACUCUCUCACUCC